AGAGCUCAAAUUUAAAAUCUGGCGGUCUCAGGCCGUCCGAGUUGUAGUCUAGAGAAGUGUUUUCCGUGCUGGACCGUGUACAAGUCCCUUGGAACAGGGCGUCAUAGAGGGUGAGAAUCCCGUCUUUGACACGGACUACCAGUGCUCUGUGAUGCACUCUCGAAGAGUCGAGUUGUUUGGGAAUGCAGCUCAAAUUGGGUGGUAAAUUCCAUCUAAAGCUAAAUAUUGGCGAAAGACCGAUAGCGAA
rnacentral:rRNA from 1 species